rnacentral:lncRNA from 10 species
GAAACAGGAAUGGGACUGGAGGAGGGGUGGGGGUGGGGUGCAGCUCUCAGUGAAUUAGGUCUUUUCUAUAGAUUCCAUAAGACUACAUAAUGAGCCGCUUUUUCUGCCUCCUGGUCGCUCAGCUACUGCUCUGACCUCCCAGGGGCCAGAGGAGGGGGUCAACCCUCCCUGUUAAACGUGCUCUGCCUUUGGUUACCUGGUGUUGCUCUGGGAGGAAGACCAGCUUCGGGAGCAGGCUGUUGGGGUCUGCUGCAGAGGGUGGAAUACGUGCAGCCCAGCCGUCCUGCCUACCACACCCCUGGCAAGGAGCUGCACCUCGCUGAGCUCAGUUCCCCCAUCUGUAAAGGAGACCAGAAUAAUCCCAGCCUCACGAGGCCAUUGCCAGGACUGAGGGAAACUAUGCUAAUGACUGCCUAGGGUCAACUGAGUAAAGCACUCAGUUGAGGACAACCAUUAUGAUUUUUCUGAUUUCUGGCCAAGGACCCAGCACAGCCUACACCUGAAGCAUGCGACUAAGAGUGUGACCCCGGGGGCAUCUUAAUGUAGACAGUUUCCUCAAACUUAUGUACACUGUGCCGUCACCGACAAAGAAAUACUGAAAGCACCCGUGUCAGCAGAGACCUUCCUUGUACCAUGGAUUCAGUGAUUCCCUUGAGGGUGGCCCUAACCCACAGGCCUCCAUCCACUGUCCCUCAGAACGCCUUCAGAAGGCUAAAUCAUCUUGCUCCAAUGCCAGUUGCAAUGAUGGGAUCCUAAAGUGUUGAGCAGUUACUAAUCCACUCACUCCGAAAAUGACUCACAUUUAUUAAGUAUUUACCACAACCCAAUAGGAUAAUUUUUUUUACUAUCCUCAUUAUAUAAAUGAGGAAAUGGAGGGAUAGAGGAACCUGUUUUACUUAUCCCAAUUGGUGGAUCUGGGCUUUGAAAUGGAAUUGUCUGAUGGACACCCCCACUUGCUCAAUCACUGAGAGACCCUGUCUCUGCAUGCAAGAUCUCAUUUCAUGCCAAGAGGUUUGCUGAGCUUCCAGGCCCCUCUCAAGCAGGACCAGCAGAGAAGAAGGAGAAAUCUUGAUCAGUAGGAUGUCGUAGUUCUGAGGAAAGAGUCUUUACCAGCGAGAAGGUCCUCACCAGAUGCAGCUGCUCAACCUUGGACUUCUCAGCCUCCGUAAUGCAGCUUCUGAAGCCCUGUCAGUCCUCUUCACAGUGACAUGAAGACAUCACGAGUAGACGUUCAAGUAUGGACAUUGAAACCUCAGGGGCUGGAUUUGAGUUUGAAGCCCAGCUUACUCACUCACCGGUCAUGUGGCCCAGGGGACUAAUGAAGACAUGAUUCCAGGACAGCAUCUAGUACAGUCUAGUCCUCAGGAAACAGGGACUGAAAUUCAACAUGGAUGAAACCUGAAUCAACUGAGUGUUCCAUGCUCAGAAUGGUUUUGGUCCCCCACCCCCUACCCUUGAGACAUAUAAGCUCCCCUGGGCGAUAGUAGUACAAGUGUUCUGAAAGGCUUUGGUGAUAGCCGAAGUAUGAAAAAGCAGCCUUACUGAUAGUGGAAAAUUCUCCUGAAAGUGGGCAAAGUGUUUCUAUCAGAUUAUGGCCAAAUUCCAGCUGGGGUGAAGGAGGUGACAGACAAAACCACUUAGUGUUCCUACUCAGUCCACAAGCUGACACUCUGAUCAAGCACUUUUCCUAGCACGUGUUCUUGGAGAGCAGCUUGUUAUCUGAGGCUGGGGGCCGGGGCUGCCUGCCAAUCCCCGGCCUGCAACAGUGCUUUCUCAUAGAGUCACAUUAAGUCUGAAUGGUCACAGGGAAACCUAACGUUGCUUGCAGUUUAGUCUCUGGCUGGUCUGGAUCAUUCAUUCAUUCAUUCAUUCAUUCAUUCCUCUUUCUUCUGCAUCUGGGAGACUCCACACCAGGUUCCCGGGAGUGAUUCUGAUCUUGGGGACAUGUGGUGAUUCAUUUUUAAAAAGAGGCUUAUUUACACGACUACAUCUGCUACAUGCUUUUUUAUCUGUUCUUUGUUGUUGCCUGGAACGACACCUGUUAAAUGACCUACAUUUUGCCUUCUACCUGCCCUUUAAAAGGACAGAGCAACAUAAAUUUACAUGCACGUUGGGUAGAAGGUGCUUUAUUUUCCACCAGAUAAAGUAUAUAAUAUGGAAUUGACAAUACUCAAAAGUGCCUCUGAUGAUUUUUGUUAAAAUUCUUCUCAACUGCCCAGUUUCUCACCAUGAAAAACCAAGCACUGUCCUAGUUAAGUAUCACCCACCCAAGAACUUUUACAAAUGUGAACUUGCUUUCCUACUUGGUCAGCA